UAUUCUUGUUUACGGCCGUAUCGCUUUCGUACGAAAGCAGCAGCGGCGUACGAAUGCGAUACGAACGCAUACGAAUACGGUUCGUUCUAACCAAUUCGAGUUUUCGAACAUCGUUGCUUUCGUACGAACGUGCCAUUCUUGUUUACGUACGUAUGCGUAUCCGUAUUCUUUUUGCUCUCGUUCGCAAACGUCAGUCAAAAGUUGCGAAUCGCUGUACGAAUCGCCGGCGCCGGUAGUUUUAUCUCGUUUUUCUACUGUUUGGUGUUAGUUUUUUGACAAAAUUUAAUAAACCGAAGAAUUUGUGUUGUUUCGUGAAGUAUGAGCAACAUUCUGAAGAACAUUUGUGAAAAUCCAUUUUCAAAAAUCUCCAGUUUUGUAUACGGAAACCGUUUGUCGAAAGUUGCGAAUGGCUACGAAUCGCCGUCGCCACGGUUUUUUUCUCGUUUGUUCUGCGUUAAAUAAAGUUAGUGCAACAUUUUCAAGGAAAAAAGGUGACAAAUGAUUUUUAAAAGUCCAGUUAGGAAACGAAACAGCAGUCGAAAGUUGCAAAUGACUAUACGAAUCGCCGUCGCCCCAGUUUUUCUGGUUCACUUUCUGUGAAAAGUUUUCUGGCCAUAUCAACAAAAAGUCAACUACCAGGCAGGUUCUGAUUAGCUCAAAAAGUGGAUGGGUAACAGAACACAGGAUAAUUAUUUUAACAUUGUUCAAUUGACACAGAUGCCGAUUUGUAUACUAGGAAUAAGCGAUCAAGAGCUACAGGAAAAUGCAUGAAAUCACGACUCUUCCUCCGGCAACUAUUUAUACAUGCUGUGAUUGAUGACUCUUUUGGACGAAUUAGGCUGUUUCCAACCAUUUUGAAAUUAGCAACAAAAAAGGGGAUCAAGUAUGUAACAUAGCAACCGAUUCCUUCGGAUGUCUCAUAAAACCGCAAGCUACCUUUGAACGCAAUCUCGUCGAAUUAAUAAAAUUAGGUUAUUGAACUGCUGCAUGCUACAAAGAAGAGUUUUAAAAGUUGAUUACGUGUGAUGUUGAUCAAAAAUACCAGUGACGUAUAAUUUAAUUUUAUUUUAUCAGAAAAAUGAUUGAACAAGUAUGCAAAACUAAUGUGAAUAAAUUUUAUUGAUUUUCACAACUGAUUGUUCUUUUUAUCUAGUUAUGAUUUUGAUAGUUUUGAAGCGACGUUAUGAAGCAUUUCGUAUUAUCUCCCGAGAGCGUAAAUUGUUGAUAGUGGUGAAUGGCAUAGGAACGGAAUUGCAAGUUCGAGUUUCUUUCUUGCUUAUUCUGCUCUAAAUUCGAAAUAUGAAUACUUAUAUAUUUUUCAAUUACUAAAAUCACAACAGGUUUCAAUCCUUAUGGACAAAAAUUAAAUAUUCAAAAAGCAAC